AUGAACAUGGAUGAAUUUGUAUGUCUAAGACAUAUGGCCGGGUUAAAUGAGCAGUCUUCAGCUGUACACCUCAGUGGAAACAACUCUCAGGCAAAGGCUGGUGGUUCACAACAGUUAUAUCCUGUCUCCACUGUAUCACUGCAACUCCAACCAUAUGUAAGUCCUGGAGCAAACAUAUCUUGAUGUCCCCAAAAUCUUUAACUAUUCAAUUCUCUUAGUUUUUUCUGCUUUUCUCUCCCACUAACUUUUUGAAUCUAAUUUUAAUUUUAAUUAAAAUUUAAUUUUUUUUUUUUUUUUUGAGACAGAGUCUUGCUGUGUCACCCAGGCUGGAGUGCAGUGGUGCAAUCUCAGCUCACUGCAAGCUCCACCUCCCAGGUUCACGCCAUUCUCCUGCCUCAGCCUCCUGAGUAGCUGGGACUACAGGCGCCUGCCACUGCACCCGGCUAAUUUUUUGUAUUUUUAGUAGAGCUGGGGUUUCACCGUGGUCUCGAACUCCUGACCUUGUGAUCCGCCCGCCUCAGCCUCCCAAAGUGCUAGGAUUACAGGUGUGAGCCACGCGCCAGGCCUUAAA
rnacentral:lncRNA from 1 species